rnacentral:rRNA from 1 species
UGGCGAACGGGUGAGUAACACGUGAGUAACCUGCCCUUGACUUUGGGAUAACUUCAGGAAACUGGGGCUAAUACCGGAUAGGAGCUCCUGCUGCAUGGUGGGGGUUGGAAAGUUCCGGCGGUUGGGGAUGGACUCGCGGCUUAUCAGCUUGCUGGUGGGGUAGUGGCUUACCAAGGCUUUGACGGGUAGCCGGCCUGAGAGGGUGACCGGCCACAUUGGGACUGAGAUACGGCCCAG